AUUGAACGCUGGCGGCAGGCCUAACACAUGCAAGUCGAGCGGAUGAGAAGAGCUUGCUCUUCGAUUCAGCGGCGGACGGGUGAGUAAUGCCUAGGAAUCUGCCUGGUAGUGGGGGACAACGUUUCGAAAGGAACGCUAAUACCGCAUACGUCCUACGGGAGAAAGCAGGGGACCUUCGGGCCUUGCGCUAUCAGAUGAGCCUAGGUCGGAUUAGCUAGUUGGUGAGGUAAUGGCUCACCAAGGCGACGAUCCGUAACUGGUCUGAGAGGAUGAUCAGUCACACUGGAACUGAGACACGGUCCAGACUCCUACGGGAGGCAGCAGUGGGGAAUAUUGGACAAUGGGCGAAAGCCUGAUCCAGCCAUGCCGCGUGUGUGAAGAAGGUCUUCGGAUUGUAAAGCACUUUAAGUUGGGAGGAAGGGCAGUAAGUUAAUACCUUGCUGUUUUGACGUUACCGACAGAAUACGCACCGGCUAACUUCGUGCCAGCCGCCGCGGUAAGAC
rnacentral:rRNA from 1 species